rnacentral:rRNA from 1 species
GAGUUUGAUCCUGGCUCAGGAUGAACGCUAGCUACAGGCUUAACACAUGCAAGUCGAGGGGCAGCAUGAACUUAGCUUGCUAAGUUUGAUGGCGACCGGCGCACGGGUGAGUAACACGUAUCCAACCUGCCGAUGACUCGGGGAUAGCCUUUCGAAAGAAAGAUUAAUACCCGAUGGCAUAGUUCUUCCGCAUGGUAGAACUAUUAAAGAACUUCGGUCAUCGAUGGGGAUGCGUUCCAUUAGGUUGUUGGCGGGGUAACGGCCCACCAAGCCUUCGAUGGAUAGGGGUUCUGAGAGGAAGGCCCCCCACAUUGGAACUGAGACACGGUCCAAACUCCUACGGGAGGCAGCAGUGAGGAAUAUUGGUCAAUGGACGAGAGUCUGAACCAGCCAAGUAGCGUGAAGGAUGACUGCCCUAUGGGUUGUAAACUUCUUUUAUACGGGAAUAAAGUGAGGCACGUGUGCCUUUUUGUAUGUACCGUAUGAAUAAGGAUCGGCUAACUC